rnacentral:rRNA from 1 species
CUUCUCUUUCUUUCAUGGUGCCGCCCAUCCAACACCAACCAGUACAAUACGAGGACUAGGAGGUGUUCGUUGGUUGUCCUGUUACGGCGAUUAGCCAUGGAAGCAGCAGGAGAUGAGGAGAGGCCCUUGCUCCAUCACCCACAUCCUCAUCUCUAUCAGGAUGGGAAUUCAAGAUACACUAGUGAUGGAACAGUUGAUGUUGACGGACAACCUGCUGUUAAGGCAAGCACAGGGGACUGGAGAGCCUGCUUCUUUGUCCUAGGUAUCCAAUUCAGCGAAUGCCUGGCCUUCUUCGCUAUCUCCAAGAACUUGGUCACCUACCUAACCAGCGUGCUCCACGAAAGCAACAUCGACGCGGCGAGGAAUGUGUCCACUUGGAUUGGCACCACAUUCUUCACGCCGCUUGUUGGAGCUUUCUUAGCAGACACCUAUUGGGGAAGAUACAAGACAUUAGUGGUUUUCCUCUCGGUUUAUGCUCUCGGAAUGCUUGUCCUCACGGUUUCGACGACACUCCCAUGGAUGCGGCAAUCCUCCAGCAAUGAUGAGAUCCAUCGUAUCGCCGUCUACACAGGACUCUAUCUUACAGCCCUUGGCAAUGGUGGCAUCAAGCCAUGUACUUCCACUUUUGGUGCUGACCAGUUUGACAUCACCGACCCGUCGGAGCAGUUAAAGAAGGGCUCCUUCUUCAAUUGGUUCUACUUCUCGACCAGUAUUGGUUCCCUUCUAUCGACCACUAUGAUCGUGUGGGUGCAAGAUAAUGCUGGUUGGGGCAUUGGCUUCGCGGUCCCGACGAUCUUCAUGAGCCUCAGCUUCACAGUGUUCAUCGCUGGUAGGAGGAUCUAUAGGUACAAGACACUGGGAGAGAGUCCCAUGACAAGAGUGUCUCAGGUUGUUGUUGCAGCUGCAAGGAAUCACCAUAUGGAUUUGCCAGAUGAUUGCUCAACCCUACAUCACCUGCCUUCAGCACCAUUAGAGGCUACGUUCAAUGUUCACCAUACCACUCAGUUCAGAUUUUUGGACAAGGCUGCCAUUGUACCAGCACCAACAGUGGAGAAGAAAGGCACGUCGACAAGCCCGUGGAGGCUAUGCGUAGUGUCUCAUGUGGAGGAGGUGAAGAUGUUGUUGCGAUUGUGCCCCACAUGGGCGUCCUUGGUGAUAUUCUUCAUGAUCAUGUCGCAGAUGUCGUCGACGGUGAUUGAGCAGGGCAUGAUAAUGGACAACCGCGUGGGGCCAUUUGUUGUGCCGCCAGCCUCCAUCGCCAGCUUCACCGUGGUUACCACGCUCGUGCUAGUCCCCAUCUACGACAUGGUGCUGGUGCCCUUGGCCCGGCAUGCCACCGGUGAGGAUCGAGGCCUCACGCAGUCACAGCGCCUCGGCAUUGGCUUCGCGAUGUCCACACUCUGCAUGGCCUACUUGGCGCUGCUCGAGAGGAACCGGCUCGCGGUAGCCGCGACCGGGGAAAUGAUGAACAUCAUGUGGCAAGCACCGGCGUAUGUUGUGUUGGGUGCCGGCGAGGUGUUCACGGUAAUUGGCAUGUUGGAGCUCUUCUAUGACCGGUCACCAGACGGAAUGAGGAGCCUAUGCACUGCACUAUCACAGCUCGCUGUCGCGGUGGGGAACUACCUCAACUCAGCUGUGCUGGGCGUUGUCGCAUCCACAACGGUGUGGAUUUCGGAGGACCUCGACAAAGGCCACCUAGACUACUUCUUCUGGACGAUGGCGGCGCUCGGUGCCCUGAAUCUGUUGCAAUUUUUGUUCUUCUCCAUGAGGUACAAUGAUAACACAGCUUGUCGACAACGCCAUCCAUAUUAGUGAUGUUUCACUUUGUCUGAAGACAGCCUAUCAAGCUUCUUGACUAUUAUUCAGAAAACUACAAAGACCUUGUCCCGUGAUUAAGUUUCAUUGGAUCGAUGGAUCAAAACUUACGCAUGGAAGAUAUAUCUAUGAACUCGAUCACUUGUGUAGUUUUCAGGAUUUGCCCAACAAAGUAUACUACUAAAAGCUAGCUUGUACUGCAAGGAGUAGUAUUUUGCACGGCGACAAAAUUUGGAUGAAAAAUUGAUGUUGAAAAAUCAUAUGCAUGUGAGAGUAUGCUUUUACGUGCGCGCGUGGGGUUGGUUCACGUUUGAUAAUUUUGUACUCCCUCCGUCUCAUAAUGUAUGGCGUUUUUUUAUCCUUUUAUUCGGAUCUUUUAAUCUUUCUACUGUUCCUUGGCAUCAUUGGGCGUGAAUCUCUGUAUCAGCCGCGCCAGGUUUUGGUACGAUGAACCUCCUAUGGCCAUGGCCGUGCGAGCUCUCUCGCCGUACUCCUUGGCCUUCCUCCUCCUCUCCUCGGCCACGUCGCCACUGCCCAUGAGCUCCGACACCGCCCGCGCGAUGUCUCCGCGCGCCACCAUUACGGCCUCGCCGUCAGGCACAGCUGCGCCGACGGGCACGCCCACCCCGAGCACGUCCACGGCCAGACGCUCGUUCAGGAACUGGUCUGCCAAGUGCGGCCACGUCACGACCGGCACGCCGUGUGCGAUCGACUCCAGCAGCGAGUUCCAGCCGCAGUGUGUCACGAAGGCCCCCACGGCGCGGUGCGACAGGAUGGCGAGCUGCGGCGCCCAGCCGCGCACCACGAGGCCAUGACCCGCGGUGCGUGCCUCCAGGGCUUGCAGCCACUCCAGCACCUCCGGCGAGGCCGCCACCUCGGACUCCUUCACGACCCAAAGGAACGGCCUGCCCGAGUCCUCGAGGCCAUGCCCGACCUCGUACAGCUGCUCGUGAAGCACCCGCACGAGGCUGCCGAAGCUGGCAAAAACAACGGAGCCGGUGCACAUGGCGUCGAGCCAUUCGGUGACCGCGCUCUGGUUGACGGCGGUGGGUCUGUCCUUGUCCCCGCGGCACGCCAGGGCCGUCUCGUCGCGGUUGCUGAGGCAGAACGGCCCGAGCGCCCACACCGGCAUCCCCAGCGCCGCCUCGUAGCACGACACGAACUGUCCCUCGAGGUCCAGGAACGUGUUGGCGACGGCGCCGUCGGCCAUGCGCAUGGCCUCCAUGGCGUUCUUCUGGAACGCCUCCCACGCAGGAGUCUUCAAGAAAGCGGAGGAGCAGGUAGCCCUGGUCAUCUCCAGGCGCACCGGCAUGCCUGGCAUGACGCACGUCUCGCGCUCCUCAACAAGUCCGUGCGUGGCGACGUUGAGGUCGCAGAGCGAGUAGAAGCAGGAAGGGCCGUGGAAGAAGAGCAGCGGCACCCCAACGCUCCUGGCCACGCCGGCAGUCCAUGCGUUAGCCCUGUCGUAGAUGAUGCAGCCGGGCCGCCGCCCCAGCGCGCGCAGGUAGGCCUCCAAGGGGCCGGCGAGCCUGUGGAGGGCCUGGAACAUGGGGGCUAAGGUGUCGAUGUCGUCGCCACAGCCGGGGGGCAGUCCGUCGUCGGCCGGCGCGAACGGGAGCUCGACUAUGUCUAGGGGCAGCUUGGCGCGCCGCGCAGAGUCGGCGACGCCCUGGAGGCGCGCGGCGUUCCAGGGCGUGGUCACCACGCUCACGCGCGCACCGCGUCCUGCGAGGAGGCGUGCAAGGUCCACCAUCGGGAUGGUGUGGCCCUGCGCCACGAGGGGGACGAGAACGAAGUGUGUCGGGAGCGCUGACGUAGCAACGUUGAACUCGUUCGUCUCCGUCGACGGCGCCAUUGAAGACGUACGUGUAGGCAUGCAGCUCUAACGGAUGCGGAAGAAUCGAGUGAUGAGCU